rnacentral:lncRNA from 1 species
CGAGGAAAGAGAGAGGAAAGAGAGAGAGAGAGAGAGAGAGGCAGUAGGGGCGGUGAGGAGUGCUGGGGGCUGUCGGAUCGGUGGACUCUCCAAGGGCCUGGCCCCGCCGCCACUUGUUCUGUUUCCCUCUUACCGUCUGGAGGAAGGGAGGGCUGUUAACUCUCUCUCUCUCUUCCGCGUGGUGCGUCGUAAGAUCGUCGCGUCGUCGGCCUCGAGAUUUCCAAAGGUGGCGAGGGAAGGCGGGCGAUCGCGUUCCCCGGCUCUGCAGGUUCCGGCGGCAAUUUGCUUACCUUGAUGUGUGAUGUAGGAACGUAGGGCUGAGAAAUGGUUGGAUAUGUAGGCGGAGAUUCGAAAUCACCCUCACUGUCCAUUCCCCUGCUUCCGAAGGUCCCCCUGGGGCAGGGAGGGACGAGCGAUGCUUGGAUUCACCUUCCCGAUCUGGUUUCCGCGCAAUUGAUAACCGGGCGAGUUAGUUUUUGCUUUCUGAAUUUACUUCGGCGCCCGAGAUCCCCCAUGAAAGAUCUGGCAUUGGUUCCUUAUCCCCCCCGCUGAAGUCUUCUUCCUUAGGCUG